rnacentral:rRNA from 1 species
AGUGAACGCUGGCGGUAGGCCUAACACAUGCAAGUCGAACGGCAGCACAGGAGAGCUUGCUCUCUGGGUGGCGAGUGGCGGACGGGUGAGGAAUACAUCGGAAUCUACUUUUUCGUGGGGGAUAACGUAGGGAAACUUACGCUAAUACCGCAUACGACCUACGGGUGAAAGCAGGGGAUCUUCGGACCUUGCGCGAUUGAAUGAGCCGAUGUCAGAUUAGCUAGUUGGCGGGGUAAAGGCCCACCAAGGCGACGAUCCGUAGCUGGUCUGAGAGGAUGAUCAGCCACACUGGAACUGAGACACGGUCCAGACUCCUACGGGAGGCAGCAGUGGGGAAUAUUGGACAAUGGGCGCAAGCCUGGUCCAGCCAUACCGCGUGGGUGAAGAAGGCCUUCGGGUUGUAAAGCCCUUUUGUUGGGAAAGAAAUCCAGCUGGCUAAUACCCGGUUGGGAUGACGGUACCCAAAGAAUAAGCACCGGCUAACUUCGUGCCAGCCGCCGCAGUAAAAC